rnacentral:rRNA from 1 species
AUUGAACGCUGGCGGCAGGCCUAACACAUGCAAGUCGAGCGGCAGCGGGAAAGUAGCUUGCUACUUUUGCCGGCGAGCGGCGGACGGGUGAGUAAUGCCUGGGAAAUUGCCCAGUCGAGGGGGAUAACAGUUGGAAACGACUGCUAAUACCGCAUACGCCCUACGGGGGAAAGCAGGGGACCUUCGGGCCUUGCGCGAUUGGAUAUGCCCAGGUGGGAUUAGCUAGUUGGUGAGGGAAUGGCUCACCAAGGCGACGAUCCCUAGCUGGUCUGAGAGGAGGCUCCGCCACACUGGAACUGGGACACGGUCCAGACUCCUACGGGAGGCAGCAGUGGGGAAUAGUGCACAAUGGGGGAAACCCUGAUGCAGCCAUGCCGCGUGUGUGAAGAAGGCCUUCGGGUUGUAAAGCACUUUCAGCGAGGAGGAAAGGUUGAUGCCUAAUACGUAUCAGCUGUGACGUUACUCGCAGAAGAAGCACCGGCUAACUCCGUGCCAGCCGCCGCGGUAAAAC